AAACUUUCAACAACGGAUCUCUUGGCUCUGGCAUCGAUGAAGAACGCAGCGAAAUGCGAUAAGUAAUGUGAAUUGCAGAAUUUAGUGAAUCAUCGAAUCUUUGAACGCACAUUGCGCCCGCUAGUAUUCUGGCGGGCAUGCCUGUUCGAGCGUCAUU
rnacentral:rRNA from 1 species